GACGAACGCUGGCGGCGUGCUUAACACAUGCAAGUCGAACGGAAAGACCCUGCUUUCAGGGUGCUCGCGUUGGGAACGGGCGAGUAAGUCGCGGGUGAUCUGCCUCUUUCUUUGGGUUAAGCAUGGUAAACUGGGUCUAAUACUUGCUAGGACAAUGCUGUAGGUGGUUUGUUGGAAAGAUUAGUUUCGGUUAGGGAUGAGUUAGCGGUCUAUCAGCUUGUUGGUGGGGUAAUGGCCUACCAAGGCGUCGACGGGUAGCCGGCCUGAGAGGGUGGACGGCCACAUCGGGACUGCGAGACGGCCCAGACUCCGACAAUAGGCAGCAGUGGGGAAUAUUGCACAAUGGGCGCAAGCCUGAUGCAGCGACGCCGCGUGGGUGAUGACGGCCUUCUGUUUGUAAACACCUUUCAGCCAUGACGAAGCCCUUGUGGUGACGGUAGUGGUAGAAGAAGCACCGGCUAACUACGUG
rnacentral:rRNA from 1 species